UACAGAGACCCCGAGCAUUAUCCGGAUUUAUUGGGCGUAAAGCGCGCGCAGGCGGUUCUUCAAGUCAGAGGUGAAAGCCCAGAGCUCAACUCUGGAAUGGCCUUUGAGACUAGAGAACUAGGGUACGGGAGAGGUGAGUGGAAUUCCGAGUGUAGAGGUGAAAUUCGUAGAUAUUCGGAAGAACACCAGUGGCGAAGGCGGCUCACUGGCCCGUUACCGACGCUCAUGUACGAAAGCGUGGGGAGCAAACAGG
rnacentral:rRNA from 1 species